rnacentral:pre_miRNA from 1 species
UUAACUCAUAUUUGUAUGGAAUGGGAGCGUUUGCCUACGUUUGCCGGUAGGGGCGCUGUUCCAACUGCAUACAAAGUUGAAUUA